UUGUGGCUGCACCCAAAUAGGUGUAAG
rnacentral:misc_RNA from 1 species